rnacentral:rRNA from 1 species
CCCCGGGAGGGGAGUGAAAUAGUACCUGAAACCGUAUGUCUACAAGCAGUCGAAGCGAAAGCGACGGCGUGCCUAUUGAAGAAUGAACCAACGAGUUAUCUGCACUAGCGAGGUUAAGUGGAAGACACGGAGCCGCAGCGAAAGCGAGUCUUAAGAGGGCGCAAGUUAGUGUAGGUAGACCCGAAACCGCAGUGAUCUACCCAUGUCCAGGUUGAAGCGCAGGUAAAAUUGCGUGGAGGACCGAACCGGUGAGCGUUGAAAAGCUUUCGGAUGAGAUGUGGGUAGGGGUGAAAUUCCAAUCGAACGCGGAGAUAGCUGGUUCUCCCCGAAAUAGCUUUAGGGCUAGCCUGAGGUAGUAAGUAUAGGCGGUAGAGCACUGAUCGGGCUAGGGGCCGUAAAGGUUACCGAACCCUGUCAAACUCCGAAUGGAUAUACUGUAGAGCCUUGGAGUCAGACUACGAGUGAUAAGAUCCGUGGUCAAAAGGGAAACAGCCCAGACCACCAGCUAAGGUCCCCAAUGUCGUACUAAGUGGAAAAGGAUGUGGGGUUUCAUAAACAACCAGGAUGUUGGCUCAGAAGCAGCCACCAUUUAAAGAGUGCGUAAUAGCUCACUGGUCGAGAGACCCUGCGCCGAAGAUUCCCGGGGCUAAAGUACGAAACCGAAGCUGUGGCUGUAUACGUAAAGUAUACGGGGUAGGGGAGCGUUCCCAUAGGGUAGAAGUCGAACUGGAAGGUUCGGUGGACUUGUGGGAAGUGAGAAUGUUGGUAUGAGUAGCGAAAAGAAAGGUGAGAAUCCUUUCCACCGAAAGCAUAAGGAUUCCUGAGCAACGAUCGUCGUCUCAGGGUAAGUCGGGACCUAAUCCGAGGCAGAGAGCGUAGGAGAUGGACAACUGGUUGAUAUUCCAGUACCGGUAGUAAUUGUUUGAGCAAUGGAGUGACACAGAAGGGCAGGCAAGCAUGCGAAUGGAAGAGCAUGUGUAAGCGUGUAGGGUGGUGCAUAGGCAAAUCCGUGCACUGAAAGCCUGAGGCGUGAUGCGGAGUGAGCAGAGAUGCGAGCGAAGUUGUUGACCCCACACUGUCGAGAAAAGCUUCUAGUGAGAGAGCUACCGCCCGUACCGUAAACCGACACAGGUAUGCGGGGAGAGAAUCCUAAGGUGCGCGGGAGAACCCUCGUUAAGGAACUCGGCAAAAUGUACCCGUAACUUCGGGAUAAGGGUAGCCACUGUUGUGAAGUCCCACGCGGAUGGAGCAUAGAGUGGUCGCAGAGAAGAGGCCCAAGCGACUGUUUACCAUAAACACAGGUGCCUGCUAAAGCGAAAGCUGACGUAUAGGUGCUGACACCUGCCCAGUGCCGGAAGGUUAAGGAAGGAUGUUCGGAUUAAUCCAAAGCAUUCGACUGAAGCCCCGGUGAACGGCGGCCGUAACUAUAACGGUCCUAAGGUAGCGAAAUUCCUUGUCAGGU